AUAUAGACAACUCGGCUUGGCCUUUGGUAGCAGCAGCUUUGCCCGAAUGCGGUUUGAGGGUGAUGACUCAUCAGCUAUUUUACAUGCAAAUCUGGCUUUGAGCAGAGUUUGUGCUUGCAUUUGUUUGUUUGAUUGAGUGUCCUUAAUCCUUGAUUUUCUUUCUUCUUAUAUAGACAACUCGGCUUGGCCUUUGGUAGCAGCAGCUUUGCCCGAAUACGGUUUGAGGGUGAUGACUCAUCAGCUAUUUUACAUGUAAUGCCACCAUAAAGUACUUUAUGGGCUGUGUAGCUGACCAGCCUACACCACUUGGCCUUUGGGUAGGUAAGCAAGUGGUCUUCAUGAGCUGCAUCAAGCCAGAAAAGGCUUUCUCCUGCCUUCUGGGCUUCGACUGGGCUUCGGCUAUCUUCCCUUUCGGGCCUCCUUUUGGGCCAACUCCUUUCUUGAGCCCAAAGUUAACUUUUAAUCCAAAC
rnacentral:sRNA from 1 species